UGGGCCAACUACAUUAAGACUGAUUGCCCAUACACAUGUAAAGGUUACAUCAACCUUCAACGCAUGGCAGCCCAACCCUAUUCAUCCAGGCCUUUCUUGGCAUGUUUCUCAUCAUGUAACAGGGGUUGCUGUUAGAGGUGUUGAUGGUUGAUUUGAGAGCCUGCGUGUUAGAGCUCUUCAGUCUAAUGGAGGUAAAUUUCCUCUGGAGUCAGGAAUUACUUCUCAUAAAGGCAUCAUUAGCUUCUCUUCCCAGGUCCGUCUUGGGGCCUCUGCAGAAGAGACGCCGCAACGACGAUUGGCUGUGUUUUCAUAGUUUCCACUUUUAUAGCUUUUUCAAGAUCUGCAACACAAAAAUUCGCAAUCUUGCAUUGUUUUGUUGUUUUAGUGACUCUCCACCUGAAGAGAGAGGACUUGUGUGUAAUGUACACCAAACAUUCCUAAUGGGUAAAGCAUUGAAUGUUUGUCUGGACUUUAUCAACAGCAGCGGGGUCAAAACACACAACCGUCGUUUGGGUUUCGAGUGAUAGGGGCCGUCGUUGUGGCAAUAUGACCGCUACCGGUCCUGACAGAACGACUCUUUUGAACGUGGUGGAAUCAUGACCAAAUAUGGCCCGGGGGUUGUCUGGAGUCUCGUAAUAGAGUGUCAUCUCGUAUUUACCGGUAGAUCAGACUCAAACGCCAGGGCGCUGGGCUGGGAGUGCAUCAGUCGCCCGAGGCCGUAGGAUGUAGAUCUAUGUCCAGGGCACAGGUCUGGAUUUUUCAGAUCAUUGAAAAUUUAAAAGGCAUUUACAUUUUCCACCCACAAAAGCGUGUGCACACACACACACACAUGCACACAAACAAACAAACACACACACACACACACACACACACACACACACACACACACACGCACACACACACACACACACACACACACACACACACACACACACACACACACACACACACACACACACACACACAAACACACACACGCAAACACACGCACACACACACACACACACACAUACAUGUACAAACACCCUGACAGUGCCUCUGUUUAUUUUGUUAAUGGAAGAAGCACAAUUUCUAACCAACACAGUGUUGUGCUUUCAUGUUACACAACAACAAUAUGAUCAAAGCCACCAGCUCCUGUGUGCUCCUCCAACCUCCGCCAUCGACAAUUUGAGCAGGAAAAAAAGCCUGUGACAUCCAUUUCCUCCCCCUGGCAUGGAGGUUGUCAUCUUGGAUACCACACGACACACCGCAGAAGGUGGCAGAGAAAUGAAAUCUACGUCACCCGUCUUUCACUGGAACCAAAGACCAGCAGACCUGGACAACGUCAGCCCACACGGAUGUGUUGUCCGGCAGUCCGGGCGUUGUUUGCUUUGAAGGCUGCAUAAAGCUCUUGGUCAAACAGCUGCACGGCUUCAGCCGUCCUUCAGCAACCUUCACUGGGAGUUUGGAUUAAACCGACAUGAACAAAGCGAAGGAUUUGCGCCUCUGUUGUUUGCAUGCGUUGCGCAACACACACCCAUCCCCCGCUGUUGUUCAUAGUCCUUGUUGGGCACCGGUGUGUCUCUUCGGUUUAGGGGGAAUACAUCGGACCUGAAGCAUGACUCGUAGACACAUCCUUCCUAAUUGAAUUGAAUUGUAUUGUAUAUGAGGGUCCUAACCCAUACAUUGCAAAAAAUCUAAUCAGAGCAAAGGAAAACCCUGCCGUGGAUACUAUUAAUGGAGUGCCAAAUAAAGGUCUGUGGAACACGAAGGAUGUUAAUUCAAUUUGAGUUUUAAUCGUAACAUCUGAGAGGACAAUUAGGAAACACAACGAUCUAUUUGCAACGCAUGACAAUACAAACAAGCCAACGCUAUCUGAUGGAGGCUAAUUCGAUUUUGUACGUUGUGAACGCCAGCGUGUUUAACAGACUUCUCCUCGCAUCGUCCUUCAUGAACCAACCUCAAACGUAUGGUCGCCAUUAUCCCAACUGAAAGUGUUGAGACUCCCACAUCUAUGUGCACGAUGGCAUUGAGGAUAGCCUAUACAUCGCACACCUCAAGUUGAGCAGAAAUAAUCUUUUCAAAGACCUUUAAACAAUGAAGAAUCAUUCAGUAAAAAAGUAUUGUGGUCCACGCAUUUCUCUCAUGAAAGGGAAACUCCUUCCCUUCAAUUCUGAUUAUUUGUUUAUUUCUUUCGUUUCUGGAUUGGGAAAUGAUUCAACCGAUUUUUUGCAGUGUUGUAAUGAGUAAUGGCUUUGGAGGAACCGAGACAAAGAACAGUUUCACCCGCUCGGGUGUAUCCCGAGGUCGAGCUAGGUUAACGACAUCCAGUCAAACCAUAGUAUUCAUUUUGAUGCAAGUAAAAAAAAAAAAAAACGUCAACCCUCGCUUAAUAGGAAUUUCAAGUUUCCUUUUCUUUUAAAAAAACUAAAACACCUCCCAUAAUGCAUCAUUCUAGCCCUCUUCAACGCUGCCUCCGCUCUCUAAUUCAUCACACCGCCUUGCGUGACUCGACCGCUGCGUCUUUGUGUUUUUCCACAAGAUAAUUACAAAGUGUGUGUGUGUGUGGGGGGGGGGGGGGGGAGGGGGGAGAGGGGGGAGUAAAAAAGCAUCACAGCGUUUCACAAUUUCACCACAUUAACGUAUUGGGAGUAGAAGGAAACUGUUGUGAUGGAAACACAUAUAUAGAUUAUUUAUUUAUUUAUUCAUUGGGUGGAUGGUUGCGUCCAAAUGGCGCGUGCUGUUAUGAUAUCUGCCACUGUUGUCUUUGUUGUCGCCCAUACCUGCUGCUCGGCUAAAUGGUCUGUCACUAAUGAGGCACACACAAACACACACCAGUACAAUGGAGAUUUAGAUUAUUUAGAUUGCAUUCGGGUGUCAUAUAUUGUUUAUUUAUUUUUCCAAUGUUCUUCGCCCUUGACUCGCUAGCAAACAUCUCAUAAACCCUAGGUCUCCGUUCUGGUCAAACAGGCUGGACGCAUGGAACAUGUAUGAUCGAUCCAUUCAAAAUGUAUAGAAUAAAUAAACCAACAGGAAAAUCUGAAUGGAUUUUAAUGUACCCUCAAACUGAUUAACACAAACAGAUGUAAUAUUGUACAAGUUGAGUCUGUAAAAACAACAGCCAGUGGCGGUUUUAGCAAAUUGGGGGCCCAAGGCGAAGAUCUGUAUGGGGCCCACCUUGUCCGAUCUUUAAAAGAGAACAGAGAAAAAAAUAAAUACUGACUGAAUGGUGGGUAGGCAGGUAAAGCUAAUCUCUGCGGAAGUAAAGGUUGGAGAUGAGAAAAAAUACCUUCCCCUUUAAACCCUGCAUGCACUUUUUUAAUCCAAAAUGAAGAUGGAAAGCAGAGAACACACAAAGUGGAGCAAUACACAAACUAAUAGUCACAAUGGAACCCAAAAGAGAAUAAGGUUUCAGAUAACACCUGUCUUUGCCAAAAUGCCAGGAAAAUGAGCACUGUUUAUUCUUUUUUUUAAGAUCAAAUCAAUAUCGAUAUAACCAGCAAGACAAGUAGUUAGGGUAAACCACCACCAACAGUCAUGUACUUAGCAAAACAUCACAAACAGCCAUAUACACAAAAAUUGCCAAGAUGGAUAAUUUACGAUGUUGUGUGAGUGAGGUUGCAAUUUGUAUUGCACCUGAGAUUGACAUUUCAACCAUUCUGCAAACAAACCUAUGUAAGAGAGAGUGAGAGAGAGAGAGAGAGAGAGAGAGAGAGAGAGAGAGAGAGAGAGAGAGAGAGAGAGUCUAUGAGACAGAAAAGAUAGAUUGUUCUCCACAUCACACGCUUCUGACACAG